CAGCACUAAUAAUUGUUAUAAAUAAGGCAUUGGAGGGAGAGAAAUCUUUACACAGGGGGAGUAUGUAUUAAAAUAAUUUACAUAGUUUUAAUAUGCCAUCAUAUAUAUAUAUAUUAGUAACGAAAUAAAACUGAAAUCAUUUAAUAUAUCCGUGUUAUAAGCUGGUUUCAUGUUUGGGAACUUAUAACUUUGUUUCGCUUACAUUUGGGUAUAAUUUAUAAAUAUAAACGAUGUUAUCAC